AUACGUAGGGGGCGAGCGUUGUCCGGAAUGGUUGGGCGUAAAGGGCGCGUAGGCGGCUUUGCAAGUCAGUAGUGGAAGUCCAUUUUUCAAGGAUGGAAGUGCUACAGAAACUGCGGAGCUUGAGUGCAGGAGAGGUUAUCGGAAUUCCCGGUGUAGCGGUGAAAUGCGUAGAGAUCGGGAGGAACACCAGUGGCGAAGGCGGGUAACUGGACUGCAACUGACGCUGAGGCGCGAAAGUGUGGGGAGCAAACAGGAUUAGAUACCCUGGUAGUCCACACUGUAAACGAUGAAUGCUAGGUGUAGGAGGUAUCGACCCCUUCUGUGCCGCAGUAAACACAGUAAGCAUUCCGCCUGGGGAGUACGGUCGCAAGAUUAAAACUCAAAUGAAUUGACGGGG
rnacentral:rRNA from 1 species